rnacentral:rRNA from 1 species
UGGGGAAUAUUGGACAAUGGGCGAAAGCCUGAUCCAGCCAUGCCGCGUGUGUGAAGAAGGUCUUCGGAUUGUAAAGCACUUUAAGUUGGGAGGAAGGGCAUUAACCUAAUACGUUAGUGUUUUGACGUUACCGACAGAAUAAGCACCGGCUAACUCUGUGCCAGCAGCCGCGGUAAUACAGAGGGUGCAAGCGUUAAUCGGAAUUACUGGGCGUAAAGCGCGCGUAGGUGGUGUGUUAAGUUGGAUGUGAAAUCCCCGGGCUCAACCUGGGAACUGCAUUCAAAACUGACUGACUAGAGUAUGGUAGAGGGUGGUGGAAUUUCCUGUGUAGCGGUGAAAUGCGUAGAUAUAGGAAGGAACACCAGUGGCGAAGGCGACCACCUGGACUAAUACUGACACUGAGGUGCGAAAGCGUGGGUAGCAAACA